rnacentral:rRNA from 1 species
UACGUAGGGGGCUAGCGUUGUCCGGAAUCAUUGGGCGUAAAGAGCGCGUAGGCGGCCCGGUAAGUCCGCUGUGAAAGUCGGGGGCUCAACCCUCGAAUGCCGGUGGAUACUGUCGGGCUAGAGUGCGGAAGAGGCGAGUGGAAUUCCUGGUGUAGCGGUGAAAUGCGCAGAUAUCAGGAGGAACACCAAUUGCGAAGGCAGCACUCUGGGACGUGACUGACGCUGAGACGCGAAAGCGUGGGGAGCAAACAGG